rnacentral:rRNA from 1 species
CCUACGGGCGGCAGCAGUGGGGAAUAUUGCACAAUGGGGGGAACCCUGAUGCAGCAACGCCGCGUGGGUGAAGAAGUAUUUCGGUAUGUAAAGCUCUAUCAGCAGGGAAGAAAAUGACGGUACCUGACUAAGAAGCCCCGGCUAACUACGUGCCAGCAGCCGCGGUAAUACGUAGGGGGCAAGCGUUAUCCGGAUUUACUGGGGGGAAAGGGAGCGUAGACGGCUGUGCAAGCCAGAGGUGAAAGCCCGGGGCUCAACCCCGGGACUGCAUUUGGAACUGUGUGGCUGGAGUGUCGGAGAGGCAGGCGGAAUUCCUAGUGUAGCGGUGAAAUGCGUAGAUAUUAGGAGGAACACCAGUGGCGAAGGCGGCCUGCUGGACGAUGACUGACGUUGAGGCUCGAAAGCGUGGGGAGCAAACAGGAUUAGAUACCCGAGUAGUC